AUUCCAGCUCCAAUAGCGUAUAUUAAAGUUGUUGCAGUUAAAAAGCUCGUAGUUGGAUUUGUGAUGGAAUCUGAAUGACUUUAGGGUUAUUUGGACACCGUCAUCUUUAGGUGGAAUUUGUUUGGCAUUAGGUUGUCAGAUAAAGGAUGCCUAUCCUUUACUGUGAAAAAAUCAGUGCGUUCAAAGCAGGCUUAUGCCGUUGAAUGUAUUAGCAUGGAAUAAUAAGAUAGGACCUUUGUACUAUUUUGUUGGUUUGUGUACUCAGGUAAUGAUUAAAAGGAACAGUUGGGGGUAUUUGUAUUCCAUUGUCAGAGGUGAAAUUCUUGGAUUUUUGGAAGACAAACUACUGCGAAAGCAUUUACCAAGGAUGUUUUC
rnacentral:rRNA from 1 species